rnacentral:rRNA from 1 species
AUUGAACGCUGGCGGCAUGCUUUACACAUGCAAGUCGAACGGCAGCACGGGGGCGAACCCUGGUGGCGAGUGGCGAACGGGUGAGUAAUGCAUCGGAACGUACCCAGUCGUGGGGGAGUAACGCAGCGAAAGUUGUGCUAAUACCGCAUACGACCUGAGGGUGAAAGCGGGGGACCGUAAGGCCUCGCGCGAUUGGAGCGGCCGAUGUCUGAUUAGCUAGUUGGUGGGGUAAAGGCUUACCAAGGCGACGAUCGGUAGCUGGUCUGAGAGGAUGAUCAGCCACACUGGGACUGAGACACGGCCCAGACUCCUACGGGAGGCAGCAGUGGGGGAAUUUUUGGACCAAUGGGGCAACCCUGAUCCAGCCAUGCCGCGUGAGUGAAGAAGGA